GAUCAUGGCUCAGGAUGAACGCUAGCGGCAAGGCUUAACACAUGCAAGUCGAGGGGUAUAGUUCUUCGGAACUAGAGACCGGCGCACGGGUGCGUAACGCGUAUGCAAUCUACCUUUCACAAAGGGAUAGCCCAGAGAAAUUUGGAUUAAUACCUUAUAGUAAUACGACUUGGCAUCAAGAUGUAUUUAAAGAUUUAUCGGUGAAAGAUGAGCAUGCGUCCCAUUAGCUUGUUGGUAAGGUAACGGCUUACCAAGGCAACGAUGGGUAGGGGGUCCUGAGAGGGAGAUCCCCCACACUGGUACUGAGACACGGACCAGACUCCUACGGGAGGCAGCAGUGAGGAAUAUUGGACAAUGGGCGCAAGCCUGAUCCAGCCAUGCCGCGUGCAGGAUGACGGUCCUAUGGAUUGUAAACUGCUUUUGUACAGGAAGAAACCCUUUCACGUGUGGAAGAUUGACGGUACUGUAAGAAUAAGGAUCGGCUAACUCCGUG
rnacentral:rRNA from 1 species